rnacentral:rRNA from 1 species
UACGGGGGGGGGCAAGCGUUUGUUCCGGAAUUACUGGGCGUAAAGGGCUCGUAGGCGGCCAACUAAGUCGGAUGUGAAAUCCCCAGGCUUAACCUGGGAACUGCGUCCGAUACUGGCAGCUUGAAUCCGGGAGAGGGAUGCGGAAUUCCAGGUGUAGCGGUGAAAUGCGUAGAUAUCUGGAGGAACACGGUGGCGAAGGCGGGUCCUCUGGGCCGAUACUGACGCUGAGGAGCGAAAGCGUGGGGAGCGAACAGG